rnacentral:rRNA from 1 species
GGGAAAGUUGAAAAGCACUUUGAAAAGAGAGUGCAAGAGAACGUGAAACCGUUAUAGUGGAAGCGGAUAGAGCCGACGUAUCCAGUGCGUAUUCAGCCAAAUUCGAGUUGAAUUUGAGGGUUUGAAGUUCUGUAAAGUCUUCGGCUUUCAUUGUUUAGCUCUAAUUUGGUGCAUUUGCGUACAGAGUGCGCCGAAUCAAUCGAAUUUGCUGUUUGAAGUUAGCAAAGAGGACUAGUUUACUAGAAACCUGGGCUUUUGGAUGACAGAUAGAUUUGGUUGUUGAAUGAGAUUGGUUUUUCGUGAUUGAGGCAUUGAAUUUGGGUGAUUUUUGUACGAUGCAUGCGUUUUGCAUUUACCACUCAUUUUUAUUGUUUUGAUUGCUCUUUCUCAAAUUCGGUGUUUAGUCGGUCACCUAUUUGACCCGUCUUGAAACACGGACCAAGGAGUUUAAGGUGUACGCAAGUCAUUGAAUGUAUAAAUUUAAAGGCGUAAUGAAAGUGGGACACUUGGUGUCUGUGAUGUGAGCUCUUUUUGUUUCGAUGAACUGAGCGCAACAUCGACCCAUGACUAGGAUUUAUUCUGUUGUGGAGUCUGAGCGUACGCUUUGAGACCCGAAAGAUGGUGAACUAUGCCUGAACAGGACGAAGUCAGAGGAAACUCUGAUGGAAGUCCGAAGCGGUUCUGACGUGCAAAUCGAUCGUCUGAUUUGGGUAUAGGGGCGCAAGACUAAUCGAACCAUCUAGUAG